UACGUAGGGUGCGAGCGUUGUCCGGAAUUAUUGGGCGUAAAGAGCUCGUAGGCGGUGUGUCGCGUCGGCCGUGAAAACCUGGGGCUUAACUCUGGGCGUGCGGUCGAUACGGGCAUCACUAGAGUUCGGCAGGGGAGACUGGUAUUCCUGGUGUAGCGGUGAAAUGCGCAGAUAUCAGGAGGAACACCGGUGGCGAAGGCGGGUCUCUGGGCCGAUACUGACGCUGAGGAGCGAAAGCAUGGGUAGCGAACAGG
rnacentral:rRNA from 1 species